rnacentral:rRNA from 1 species
ACGGAAGGCAGCAGUGGGGAAUAUUGCACAAUGGGGGAAACCCUGAUGCAGCAACGCCGCGUGAGUGAAGAAGUAUUUCGGUAUGUAAAGCUCUAUCAGCAGGAAAGAAAAUGACGGUACCUGGCUAAGAAGCCCCGGCUAACUACGUGCCAGCAGCCGCGGUAAUACGUAGGGGGCAAGCGUUAUCCGGAUUUACUGGGUGUAAAGGGAGCGUAGACGGCUUUGCAAGUCUGAAGUGAAAGCCCGGGGCUCAACCCCGGAACUGCUUUGGAAACUGUAGAGCUAGAGUGCAGGAGAGGUAAGUGGAAUUCCUAGUGUAGCGGUGAAAUGCGUAGAUAUUAGGAGGAACACCAGUGGCGAAGGCGGCUUACUGGACUGUAACUGACGUUGAGGCUCGAAGGCGUGGGGAGCAAACAGGAUUAGAUACCCUGGUA